GAUCCUGGCUCAGGAUGAACGCUAGCUACAGGCUUAACACAUGCAAGUCGAGGGGCAGCAUGAUUGAAGCUUGCUUCAAUCGAUGGCGACCGGCGCACGGGUGAGUAACACGUAUCCAACCUGCCGAUAACUCGGGGAUAGCCUUUCGAAAGAAAGAUUAAUACCCGAUAGCAUAGUUUCCCCGCAUGGGGUUACUAUUAAAGGAUUCCGGUUAUCGAUGGGGAUGCGUUCCAUUAGGGAGUUGG
rnacentral:rRNA from 1 species